rnacentral:rRNA from 1 species
UGGCGACCGGCGCACGGGUGAGUAACACGUAUCCAACCUGCCGAUGACUCGGGGAUAGCCUUUCGAAAGAAAGAUUAAUACCCGAUGGCAUAGUUCUUCCGCAUGGUAGAACUAUUAAAGAAUUUCGGUCAUCGAUGGGGAUGCGUUCCAUUAGGUUGUUGGCGGGGUAACGGCCCACCAAGCCUUCGAUGGAUAGGGGUUCUGAGAGGAAGGUCCCCCACAUUGGAACUGAGACACAGUCCAA